rnacentral:rRNA from 1 species
AUUGAACGCUGGCGGCAGGCCUAACACAUGCAAGUCGAGCGGAUGAAGGGAGCUUGCUCCUGGAUUCAGCGGCGGACGGGUGAGUAAUGCCUAGGAAUCUGCCUGGUAGUGGGGGAUAACGUCCGGAAACGGGCGCUAAUACCGCAUACGUCCUGAGGGAGAAAGUGGGGGAUCUUCGGACCUCACGCUAUCAGAUGAGCCUAGGUCGGAUUAGCUAGUUGGUGGGGUAAAGGCCUACCAAGCCGACGAUCCGUAACUGAUCUGAGAGGAUGAUCAGUCACACUGGAACUGAGACACGGUCCAGACUCCUACGGGAGGAAGCAGUGGGGAAUAUUGGACGAUGGGCGAAAGCCUGAUCCAGCCAUGUCGCGUGUGUGAAGAAGGUCUUCGGAUUGUAAAGCACUUUAAGUUGGGAGGAAGGGCAGUAAGUUAAUACCUUGCUGUUUUGACGUUACCAACAGAAUAAGCACCGGCUAACUUCGUG